GAAUGUUCAUAAGCUAGAAUAACGUGUUUCUUCUCCAAAUUCAUUGUAAUAUUUCAUCAAUUCCAUGUUCAAUUUCUCAUGAUUUCCCCCAGAUCCUUAGAAUAUAUGUGGAUUGAUUUUAGAACUAUUUGAGCAUGGAAUUCACCCAUUCUUGAGGACAAAUAUUCCUUGAGAAUAGAGGGAUGUAUUGUUAAUUUCAAAGGUAUGAUUCCACAAGUGGGCCCCAUGUGAGAUUUGUAUGUGAUUUUGGUCCCAAAGGACAAAAGUACAAUAUGGGAAUCGUUGUUCUCAUUUUGAUGAGUAGAUAAUGUUUUUGAUGGUAUGGCAUCUUGCAAAUGUUUCUCAAAAAGGUAAAUCAUCGAUUUAGUAGAUUUCAUUAGGCUUUUCUUUGGCAUCCUAGAAGGCUAGGUUUACCUUUCUCAU
rnacentral:lncRNA from 1 species